rnacentral:rRNA from 1 species
GUCUACGGCCAUACUACCCUGAACAAGCUCGAACCCGUCUGAUCUCGGAAGCUAAGCAGAAUCGGGCCUGGUUAGUACUUGAAUGGGAGACCACCUAGGAAGACUGGGUGCUGUAGGCA